GGCACUUUCUCUUAUUGAAUGAAUACCAGUUUAUGGUAAUACAUAGGUUGGGCAGAAGAAAGCUUAGGAUAAAGUUCAUAUAAGUUGCAGAAACAUCACUAAACUGAAAAACACUAAGAGUUGGUACAAAAGUUACGACGCUAUACAGAAUCUAGCAGCUUUUCUAAGACAUGUACUGUCUAGAUGUCCAUCCGGUGUCAUGUCUACCAAGCGAGUAGGCUGACGGUGGCAUCUGAGAGAAGUGGAGGGGAUCUGGUUCAAUUCCAUAAUCAGUAAGUGGCCUGUGCUCUAAAAUUUCAUCAUGCUUUUGAACAAAUUCAGGAAUCUCAAGCUCUCCUUUCUUUAUGUCGUCCCAAAGGUAUUGCAGUCGACUAACAUACUUUACUUUCCAAUACAAACCUCCACUCAGGAAAAAUCUGCCUAGCGUUGCAAGAACAAGCCUUGACCGGAGCCCAGGAUGAACAAAGUAUACAGCCUGAAGCCUGUCCUUAUGGUCAGGAGGUAGCUCUUCGUAGAUCCACCGCAAGAUGGUCAAUCCAGGAUUGUUAUCCUCCUUUUGGACAGUACUAUGCAUGUAGACAAUACAGAAUGGCCCCUCAGGCAGCUCCGUGCAAACUUUGUUAAAGACAUACUUUUUCAGCCGCUCCGCACUUAUAACUAGAGCCGGAAAGUAUUUUCCAACAAUACGAAAGAUCCGAUUACCCAAUUUGUCAGAUCCAGAUUCAAGGCGUAAGAACUGUAGUGAAUCAAGAUGAGCAAAAUCUUGUUCCUCGGAAAUAAGAGGGUCAAAAGUGCAAUGUAAUUAAAAUUAAUGGAAUCUCGACUAAUCAACCAAAAAAUGUAACUAAAAUAUAUGCAAUCUCGACUAAAAAUGCAGGGGCAAAUGUGAGGUCUACAAUUACCAUGAUCAGAUUUUGAACUAACGAAGAAACUACUUACCCUCCACUCAAAAAAAUCUGCCUAGAGUUCCAAGAACAAGCCUUGACAGGAGCCCAGGAUACACAAAGUAUACAGCCUGAAGCUUGUCCUUACAGUCAGAAGAGAGCUCUUCAUAGAUCCACCUCAAGAUGGUCAAUCCAGGAUUGUUAUCCUCCUUUUGGACAGUACUAUGCAUGUAGACAAUACAGAAUGGCCCCUCAGGCAGCUCCGUGCAAACUUUGUUAAAGACAUACUUUUUCAGCCGCUCCGCACUUAUAACUAGAGCCGGAAAGUAUUUUCCAACAAUACGAAAGAUCCGAUUACCCAAUUUGUCAGAUCCAGAUUCAAGGCGUAAGAACUGUAGUGAAUCAAGAUGAGCAAAAUCUUGUUCCUC
rnacentral:misc_RNA from 1 species